CUACGUGCCAGCAGCCGCGGUAAUACGGAAGGUCCGGGCGUUAUCCGGAUUUAUUGGGUUUAAAGGGAGCGUAGGCUGGAGAUUAAGUGUGUUGUGAAAUGUAGACGCUCAACGUCUGAAUUGCAGCGCAUACUGGUUUCCUUGAGUACGCACAACGUUGGCGGAAUUCGUCGUGUAGCGGUGAAAUGCUUAGAUAUGACGAAGAACUCCGAUUGCGAAGGCAGCUGACGGGAGCGCAACUGACGCUGAAGCUCGAAGGUGCGGGUAUCGAACAGGAUUAGAUACCCUGGUAGUCCGCACAGUAAACGAUGGAUGCCCGCUGUUGGUACCUGGUAUCAGCGGCUAAGCGAAAGCAUUAAGCAUCCCACCUGGGGAGUACGCCGGCAACGGUGAAACUCAAAGGAAUUGACGGGGGCCCGCACAAGCGGAGGAACAUGUGGUUUAAUUCGAUGAUACGCGAGGAACCUUACCCGGGCUUGAAUUGCAGAGGAAGGAUUUAGAGAUA
rnacentral:rRNA from 1 species